GCAAAGAAAUCAAUUCCUUGAUCCUUGUACAGAGGGGACUCCACAAAGGUGCAUUCCUCAACGCCAGACUCACCAGCCAAAGCACGGAGUACGGAGGAGGCCAUACGAGCACCGGCAUAGGCCAUAGACAAGGUCGCACUUCCAGCACCAGCCUUCGCCUUUACAACCUCAUCACCACCAAAUUGGAUACGGUGAAUAAGUGCGUCACGCUUUUCACCAGUCAAUUCAACACCGCCUUGGGACAACAAAGGUACGAUGGUCGCACCGGAAUGACCGCCAACAACAGGAAUAUGAAGAAGUUCUGCCUUGCCAUUAGUGACUUGAGAGGUGAAACGGCUGGCACGAACAGAGUCAAGUGUGGUGACACCAAACAAAUGUUUGGGUUGAUGAACGCCAACACGUUCUAAAGCCUUUUUAAAGAUGGGCACAGUAGAGUUUACGGGGUUAGUGACAACGAGAUAUUUGGCUUCGGGACAAGUUUCACCUGCUGCAAAAGCAAGGUCCCGCACAAUCGAUGCGUUAGUAGCAAAGAGAUCAUCACGAGUCAUUCCGGGCUUACGGGGAACACCAGCAGGAAUAAUGACCACAUCAGCACCGUUCAAGGCUUUUUCAAGUCCCUUGUCAUCAGGAGCAUAGCCAACAACAUUGGAAGUGGUAUUGAUAUGUCCAAUAUCGGCAGCAACGCCAGGAGCUCCCCUAAUAUCGAACAAGGCCAAUUCACUAACCUUAUCGUUCAGUUUUAAAAGCAUUGACAAAGGCUGGCCAAUACCUCCUCCAGCACCCAAAACGGCUACUUUGAAUGCGCGACUGGAGGUCGUAGAAAAAGAACGGGGAGCGAUACUCUUAAGGGGAGUAAAGUUUUUGAAAGCUACUUUGGCAAACAUCUUUGAAAGGUACAAAUUCGCAAAGCAAAGUAGAGAACACGGGUAUUUAAAAAAAAUAGAGAGAGUGUGUGUGAGACAGAGAGGGGGGUAAAAGAAA